GACGAACGCUGGCGGCGUGCUUAACACAUGCAAGUCGAACGGAAAGGCCCUGCUUUUGUGGGGUGCUCGAGUGGCGAACGGGUGAGUAACACGUGAGUAACCUGCCCUUGACUUUGGGAUAACUUCAGGCAACUGGGGCUAAUACCGGAUAGGAGCUCCUGCUGCAUGGUGGGGGUUGGAAAGUUUCGGCGGUUGGGGAUGGAAUCGCGGCUUAUCAGCUUGUUGGUGGGGUAGUGGCUUACCAAGGCUUUGCCGGGUAGCCGGCCUGAGCGGGUGACCGGCCACAUUGGGACUGAGAUACGGCACAGACUCCUACGGGAGGCAGCAGUGGGGAAUAUUGCACAAUGGGCGGAAGCCUGAUGCAGCAACGCCGCGUGCGGGAUGACGGCCUUCGGGUUGUAAACCGCUUUCGCCUGUGACGAAGCGUGAGUGACGGUAAUGGGUAAAGAAGCACCGGCUAACUACGUG
rnacentral:rRNA from 1 species